rnacentral:sRNA from 1 species
ACAUAGAGAUCAUCAGUACUGCUGCUGCUGCUGCUGCUGCUGCUGCUGCUGCUGCUGCUGCUGCUGCUGCUGCUGCUGCUGCUGCUGCUGCUGCUGCUGCUGCUGCUGCUGCUGCUGCUGCUGCUGCUGCUGCUGCUGCUGCUGCUGCUGCUGCUGCUGCUGCUGCUGCUGCUGCUGCUGCUGCUGCUGCUGCUGCUGCUGCUGCUGCUGCUGCUGCUGCUGCUGCUGCUGCUAUUACUUAAGUCUUU